rnacentral:rRNA from 1 species
AUGAACGCUGGCGGCGUGCCUAAUACAUGCAAGUCGAGCGAACAGACGCGGAGCUUGCUCCUCUGACGUUAGCGGCGGACGGGAGAGUAACACGUGGAUAACCUACCUAUAGGACUGGGAUAACUUCGGGAAACCGGGGCUAAUACCGGAUAAUAUAUUGAACCGCAUGGCUCCAUAGUGAAAGUCGGUUUUGCUGUCACUUAUUGAUCGAUCCGCGCCGCAUUAGCUAGUUGGUAAGGUAACGGCUUACCAAGGCAACGAUGCGUAGCCGCCCUGAGAGGGAGAUCCGCCACCCGGUAUGUGAGACUCGGCCGACACUCCUACGCUGGGACGCAGUCCGGAAUCUUACGCAAUGGGCGAGAGCCUGACGGAGCAACGCCGCGUGAGUGAUGAAGGUCUUCUGCUCGGUAAGCUCUGUUAUUAGGGAGGAAGAAAUGUGUAAGUGACUAUGCACGUCUUGACGGUACCGAAUCAGAAAGCCCCGGCUAACUUCGUG